rnacentral:rRNA from 1 species
UACAGAGGUGGCAAGCGUUGUUCGGAAUUACUGGGCGUAAAGGGCGUGUAGGCGGCCAUCUAAGUCAGACGUGAAAUCCCCCGGCUUAACCUGGGAACUGCGUCUGAUACUGGACGGCUUGAGUAUGGGAGAGGGAUGUAGAAUUCCAGGUGUAGCGGUGAAAUGCGUAGAUAUCUGGAGGAAUACCGGUGGCGAAGGCGGCAUCCUGGACCAUUACUGACGCUGAGGCGCGAAAGCUAGGGGAGCAAACGGG